rnacentral:ribozyme from 14 species
UUUUGUCCUUUUUUAUUUUCUUCUUUCUUACUUUCUCAGAUUUUCGACCAGUUUCGUGCUCGUCAGAAUUAUUCGUGUCGAACGAGGAAUUUGGUGCUAAGAGCGAGCGGGCAGAAUGGAAAGAAAAACUUAAUGUCUUUCCUUUCUUUUCUUUCUUCUUCUU